rnacentral:rRNA from 1 species
UACGUAGGGCGCAAGCGUUGUCCGGAAUUAUUGGGCGUAAAGAGCUCGUAGGCGGUUUGUCACGUCGGAUGUGAAAGCCCAGGCUUAACCCCGGUCUGCAUUCGAUACGGGCAGACUGGAGUGUGGUAGGGGAGAUCGGAAUUCCUGGUGAGCGGUGAAAUGCGCAGAUAUCAGGAGGAACACCGGUGGCGAAGGCGGAUCUCUGGACCAUUACUGACGCUGGAGGAGCGAAAGCGUGGGGAGCGAAACAGG